rnacentral:rRNA from 1 species
GACCGAUAGUGAACCAGUACCGUGAGGGAAAGGCGAAAAGAACCCCGGCGAGGGGAGUGAAAAAGAACCUGAAACCGUGUACGUACAAGCAGUGGGAGCCUCUUUUAUGGGGUGACUGCGUACCUUUUGUAUAAUGGGUCAGCGACUUAUAUUCUGUAGCAAGGUUAACCGAAUAGGGGAGCCGAAGGGAAACCGAGUCUUAACCGGGCGUUAAGUUGCAGGGUAUAGACCCGAAACCCGGUGAUCUAGCCAUGGGCAGGUUGAAGGUUGGGUAACACUAACUGGAGGACCGAACCGACUAAUGUUGAAAAAUUAGCGGAUGACUUGUGGCUGGGGGUGAAAGGCCAAUCAAACCGGGAGAUAGCUGGUUCUCCCCGAAAGCUAUUUAGGUAGCGCCUCGUGAAUUCAUCUCCGGGGGUAGAGCACUGUUUCGGCAAGGGGGUCAUCCCGACUUACCAACCCGAUGCAAACUGCGAAUACCGGAGAAUGUUAUCACGGGAGACACACGGCGGGUGCUAACGUCCGUCGUGAAGAGGGAAACAACCCAGACCGCCAGCUAAGGUCCCAAAGUCAUGGUUAAGUGGGAAACGAUGUGGGAAGGCCCAGACAGCCAGGAUGUUGGCUUAGAAGCAGCCAUCAUUUAAAGAAAGCGUAAUAGCUCACUGGUCGAGUCGGCCUGCGCGGAAGAUGUAACGGGGCUAAACCAUGCACCGAAGCUGCGGCAGCGACACUGUGUGUUGUUGGGUAGGGGAGCGU